UGGGGAAUUUUGGACAAUGGGCGAAAGCCUGAUCCAGCAAUGCCGCGUGUGUGAAGAAGGCCUUCGGGUUGUAAAGCACUUUUGUCCGGAAAGAAAUCCUUGGCUCUAAUACAGUCGGGGGAUGACGGUACCGGAAGAAUAAGCACCGGCUAACUACGUGCCAGCAGCCGCGGUAAUACGUAGGGUGCAAGCGUUAAUCGGAAUUACUGGGCGUAAAGCGUGCGCAGGCGGUUUGCUAAGACCGAUGUGAAAUCCCCGGGCUCAACCUGGGAACUGCAUUGGUGACUGGCAGGCUAGAGUAUGGCAGAGGGGGGUAGAAUUCCACGUGUAGCAGUGAAAUGCGUAGAGACGUGGAGGAAUACCGAUGGCGAAGGCAGCCCCCUGGGCCAAUACUGACGCUCAUGCACGAAAGCGUGGGGAGCAAAACAGGAUUAGAUACCCUGGUAGUCCACGCCCUAAACGAUGUCAACUAGUUGUUGGGGAUUCAUUUCCUUAGUAACGUAGCUAACGCGUGAAGUUGACCGCCUGGGGAGUACGGUCGCAAGAUUAAAACUCAAAUGAAUUGACGGGGUCAUAGCUGUUUCCU
rnacentral:rRNA from 1 species